rnacentral:rRNA from 1 species
AACGAACGCUGGCGGCAUGCCUAACACAUGCAAGUCGAACGAAGCCUUCGGGCUUAGUGGCGCACGGGUGCGUAACGCGUGGGAAUCUGCCCUUGGGUUCGGAAUAACAGUUAGAAAUGACUGCUAAUACCGAAUGAUGUCUUCGGACCAAAGAUUUAUCGCCCAAGGAUGAGCCCGCGUCGGAUUAGCUAGUUGGUGAGGUAAAGGCUCACCAAGGCGACGAUCCGUAGCUGGUCUGAGAGGAUGAUCAGCCACACUGGGACUGAGACACGGCCCAGACUCCUACGGGAGGCAGCAGUGGGGAAUAUUGGACAAUGGGCGAAAGCCUGAUCCAGCAAUGCCGCGUGAGUGAUGAAGGCCUUAGGGUUGUAAAGCUCUUUUGCCAGGGAAGAUGAUGACUGUACCUGGAGAAUAAGCCCCGGCUAACUUCGUGCCAGCAGCCGCGGUAAU